rnacentral:sRNA from 1 species
GUUUUAUUCAGAAAGCCACUGUACCAAUGACUUCAAGCUAUUCCCUGUUUUAUCUUCUAUGAGAUUCAGAUGCCAGGUCAUUUUAUUAUUCAAAGUGCCUGACUAACACUGAACUUGACAGAAGAAAGGUGUGGAGAACUCGUAGCUUUCUAAAAGACUGUGCCCAUAACAUCUGUUCUCCUUGCAGACUGUGUGACCCCCACAGCCAGCUUUGAGUCCCUUCUGCUGCAUUGAAGACCAUGACAGAACCAAGCACGGUUCUUGUGUAACUCAACAUUCAUUGAGAGCAUGAAGAGCACAGGAGAGGAAAGAUAGAGGAUUACAUCUGCAGAGAAAGGCUACUAAGGAAAAGAAGAAUGUUUGAAAGAGGAUCCAAAGCUCGGGUCAAGGCUUUGAAAAGGAAAACCGCAAUAAGAAAACAGACUGAAUAUUCGGAUAUGAGCAAAGAAAAUGUUCCUGGGAUCAGAAAAGACAUUUUAAAAACACACACUGGAAGCAAGUUGUACCGGUGAGACAGCUUGGCAGGUAAAACUGUUUGUAAGCCUGGUGACUUGAAUUUGGUCCUAGGACUCACGGUAGAAAGGUAGGUCAACUUCCCAGAUUCCUCUGACCUCUGCACACAUCGGUGUGUGUGAUCUGUGUGAUAUACACGCCAUACACACACCGAUUUCAAUCUUUAUAAACACUUAGAAAAAUAUGCCGAAUAAGUGGAGAAUAUCAACAUGGACAAAUACCUGGAAACAAAGUAAAAUAACAUUUAAAAAGAUUGAAGAAGAAAAAUAUGAACCAAACGUUUUGUAGCAACCAAAACCCAUUUUCAAAAACAAAAUAGAAAACCAUUAUCACUGUGCAAAGAUUUGGU